ACAAGGAGGGAUGACUCUCACCUGUAGUCUCAGUUACUUAGGAGGCUGAGGCAGGAGGAUUGCUUGAGUCCAAAAGUUCUGGGCUGUAGUGCACCAUGUUCAACAGGUGUCUGCACUAAGUUUGUCAUCAUUGAGCUUGAGGUGGGGGUGGGGGUUAUCUAAGUUGCCUAAGCAGGGGUGAACCAACCCAGGUCAGAAAUGGAACAUGUCGACAUUCCUGAGCUGAUCAGUAGUGAGAUCGUGCCUUUGAAUAGCCACAGCACUCCAGCCUGGGCAAAGGAAGACCCUGUCUCU
rnacentral:SRP_RNA from 1 species